rnacentral:rRNA from 1 species
UUAUGGAACCUCAGUAUUUAUUAGAUUUCAAAACCAAUAUUCCGCAAGGUCUACUGAGAUGAUUCAUGAUAACUGAUCGAAUUGCUGGGUCUACCGGCAAUAAAUCAUUCAUGUUUCUGCUUCCCAUCAGCUUGAUGGUAGUGUAUUGGACAACCAUGGCAUUCACGGGCUAUCGGGGGAUUAGGGUUCGAUUCCGGAGAGGGAGCCUGAGAAACGGCUACCACUUCUACGGAAGGCAGCAGGCGCGAAAAUUAUCCAAUCCUGAUUCAGGGAGGUAGUGAAAGAUAUAAUGAACUAGGAUUUAUCCUGGGAUCACAAUGGGCUUGAUUUGCAAACUUUAUUUAGCGAGGAACAAUUGGAGGGCAAGUCUGGUGCCAGCAGCCGCGGUAAUUCCAGCUCCAAUAGUGUAUAUUAAUGUUCCUGCAGUUAUUCGAUGCUCGUAGUUGGAUUUCUGGAGGUUGAGGCAGGAGGGUGGCUAUGGUCACCGCCAGCCUUUUCCUUCAUCCACCUGUUAACCUUGCCCGGGAUUCAUUUCUCGGCUUGGGGCUCAGGUAUUUUACCCUUUUUAUAUAUUCAUUUAUUUAUCUCUCUUUUUGAGCAAAUUAUAGUGUUUCAGGCAGGCGUGCGCCGGAAUACCUUAGCAUGGAAUAAUCGAACUGGACCGUGUAUUCAUCAUUUGAAUUCUUCCUUAUUUGUUGGUUCUAAGGACACGGAUAUGGUUAAUAGGGAUAGUAAUUUUCAGGGGAGGCAUUAGUAUUUAAUUUCCAGAGGUGAAAUUCUUUGAAAUAUUAAAGACUAACCUAUGCGAAAGCAUUUAUUUUGCCAAUAAUGUUUUCAUUAAUCAUUGAACGAAAGUUAGGGGAUCAAAGACGAUCAGA